rnacentral:rRNA from 1 species
UGAUGGGUAGAGGAGCGUUCUGUAAGCCUGUGAAGGUGAAUCGAGAGGUUUGCUGGAGGUAUCAGAAGUGCGAAUGCUGACAUAAGUAACGAUAAUGUGGGUGAAAAACCCACACGCCGAAAGUCUAAGGUUUCCUGCGCAACGUUAAUCGACGCAGGGUGAGUCGGCCCCUAAGGCGAGGCAGAAAUGCGUAGUCGAUGGGAAACGGGUUAAUAUUCCCGUACUUUAUAAUACUGCGAUGGGAGGACGGAGAAGGCUAGGUCAGCCACCCGAUGGUUGUGGUGGUUUAAGUGUGUAGGAAGGGUUCUUUGGCAAAUCCGGGAACUCAAUUCCGAGACAUGAUGACGAAGUACGAACUUGUUCGUGCAAAGUGAUUGAUGCCACGCUUCCAGGAAAAGUCCCUAAGCUUCAGGUAUUGUAAAACCGUACUAUAAACCGACACAGGUGGACAGGUAGAGAAUACCAAGGCGCUUGAGAGAACUUGGGUGAAGGAACUAGGCAAAAUGGCACCGUAACUUCGGGAGAAGGUGCGCCCUUGGUAAGUGAAGGUCCUUGCGACUGGAGCUGAAAAGGGUUGCAGAUACCAGGUGGCUGCGACUGUUUACUAAAAACACAGCACUCUGCAAACUCGUAAGAGGACGUAUAGGGUGUGACGCCUGCCCGGUGCCGGAAGGUUAAGUGAUGGGGUUAGCCCUCGGGCGAAGCUCUUGAUCGAAGCCCCGGUAAACGGCGGCCGUAACUAUAACGGUCCUAAGGUAGCGAAAUUCCUUGUCGGGUAAGUUCCGACCUGCACGAAUGGCGUAACGAUAGCCACGCUGUCUCCACCCAAGACUCAGUGAAAUUGAAAUCGCUGUGAAGAUGCAGCGUACCCGCGGCUAGACGGAAAGACCCCGUGAACCUUUACUACAGCUUUACACUGAACUUUGAAUAUGCCUGUGUAGGAUAGGUGGGAGGCUUUGAAGCUGGAGCGCUAGCUCCAGUGGAGCCAACCUUGAAAUACCACCCUGGCGUGUUUGAGGUUCUAACCCUGUCCCGUAAUCCGGGUCGGGAACAGUGUAUGGUGGGUAGUUUGACUGGGGCGGUCUCCUCCAAAAGAGUAACGGAGGAGUACAAAGGUACCCUCAGCACGGUCGGAAAUCGUGCAUUGUGUGCAAAGGCAUAAGGGUGCUUGACUGCGAGACUGACAAGUCGAGCAGGUACGAAAGUAGGUCUUAGUGAUCCGGUGGUCCUUUAUGGAAGGGCCAUCGCUCAACGGAUAAAAGGUACUCCGGGGAUAACAGGCUGAUACCACCCAAGAGUUCAUAUCGACGGUGGUGUUUGGCACCUCGAUGUCGGCUCAUCACAUCCUGGGGCUGUAGCCGGUCCCAAGGGUAUGGCUGUUCGCCAUUUAAAGUGGUACGUGAGCUGGGUUUAGAACGUCGUGAGACAGUUCGGUCCCUAUCUGCCGUGGGCGUUGGAGAUUUGAGAGGAGCUGCUCCUAGUACGAGAGGACCGGAGUGGACGUACCUCUGGUGUUCCGGUUGUCACGCCAGUGGCAUUGCCGGGUAGCUAAGUACGGACGGGAUAACCGCUGAAAGCAUCUAAGCGGGAAGCCCCCCUCAAGAUGAGAUCUCCCGGACCUUUAAGGUCCCUAAAGAUUCGUUGAAGACGACAACGUUGAUAGGCAGGGUGUGGAAGCUCAGUAAUGAGUGAAGCUAACCUGUACUAAUUAAUCGUGCGACUUGACUAU